rnacentral:lncRNA from 1 species
UCUGGUAGUUGGUGCUGAUGAAGGUACUACAUAUCGCUUUGAAGUUGUUAGAAAACAACUUCAACUGUGAUGUAACUACGGCAACAAAGGUUUGAAUGCUCUCUGUCUCUGGCAAGUGUCAAUUUAAUUGUCUCAUUAUGGUCGUGAUAUCUGUGCAGUACUUAUUGCAAAUAUGGCCCCUUUUUUGGAAUCUAUGCUUUGAUAUGUGAAUUUAUAAAAUGAGUGAUUCAUACUUCAUCUGUUGUUCAACAUUUGAACGUGAUGAAAUUAUGACUGACAUUAUAUUGCCAUCUAACCAAUGCUACUGUUACAUCUCUAUUCAGUAUUCAAGAUUUAACAUAUCUUCACAAUUGCAUCUGGACC